rnacentral:rRNA from 1 species
UAGGGAAUCUUCCACAAUGGACGCAAGUCUGAUGGAGCAACGCCGCGUGAGUGAAGAAGGCUUUCGGGUCGUAAAACUCUGUCUAUUGAAGAAGAACGUGUGUGACAGUAACUGGUCAUGCAGUGACGGUAUUCAAUCAGAAAGUCACGGCUAACUACGUGCCAGCAGCCGCGGUAAUACGUAGGUGGCAAGCGUUGUCCGGAUUUAUUGGGCGUAAAGCGAGUGCAGGCGGUCUUUUAAGUCUGAUGUGAAAGCCUUCGGCUUAACCGAAGAAGGGCAUCGGAAACUGGGAGACUUGAGUGCAGAAGAGGAGAGUGGAACUCCAUGUGUAGCGGUGAAAUGCGUAGAUAUAUGGAAGAACACCAGUGGCGAAGGCGGCUCUCUGGUCUGUAACUGACGCUGAGGCUCGAAAGCGUGGGUAGCAAACAGGAUUA